GACGAACGCUGGCGGCGUGCUUAACACAUGCAAGUCGAACGGAAAGGCCUGCUUUCCCUUGUGGAUUGCGGGUACUCGAGUGGCGAACGGGUGAGUAACACGUGAGUGAUCUGCCCCCAACUUGGGUAUAAGCCUGGGAAACUGGGUCUAAUUCCCGAUAGGACUGCAGGGUGGUGCCUGUGGUGGAAAACGAUUUUCUAGUGGUUGGGGAUGAGCUCGCGGCCUAUCAGCUUGUUGGUGGGGUAAUGGCCUACCAAGGCGGCGACGGGUAGCCGGCCUGAGAGGGUGGACGGCCACAUUGGGACUGAGAUACGGCCCGGACUCCUACGGGAGGCAGCAGUGGGGAAUAUUGCACAAUGGGCGGAAGCCUGAUGCAGCGACGCCGCGUGGGGGAUGACGGCCUUCGGGUUGUAAACUCCUUUCGACCGCGAGGAAGCCACCUGGUUGGAAGGGUGGUGACGGUAGUGGUAGAAGAAGCACCGGCUAACUACGUG
rnacentral:rRNA from 1 species